UGCUAUCGGGAUAGGACUAAGACAUGCUAGUCGAGCGCCUCCCAGCCACGACGGAGGCACGGCGUACAGCUCAGUAACACGUGGCUAACCUGCCCUCGGGACGGGAAUACCCCCGGGAAACUGGGGCUAAUCCCCGAUAGGUGAAGAACUCUGGAAUGAGUCUCCGCCCAAAAGACGCUUAAAUCAUGCUUUUAGGCGCCGCCCAAGGAUGGGGCCGCGACCGAUCAGGUAGUUGGUGAGGCAACGGCUCACCAAGCCUUUAACCGGUGCGGGCCGUGGGAGCGGGAGCCCGGAGAUGGGCACUGAGACAAGGGCCCAGGCCCUACGGGGCGCAGCAGUCGCGAAAACUUUGCAAUACACGAAAGUGUGACAGGGCUAUCCCGAGUGCCAUCCGCUGAGGAAGGCUUUUACCCAGUCUAGAAAGCUGGGAGAAUAAGGAGAGGGCAAGUCUGGUGUCAGCCGCCGCGGUAAUACCAGCUCUCCGAGUGGUGUGGAUGUUUAUUGGGCCUAAAGCAUCCGUAGCUGGCCAAGUUAGUCCCCUGUUAAAUCCACCGAAUUAAUCGUUGGAGUGCGGGAGAUACUGCUCGGCUAGGGGACGAGAGAGGCCGACGGUAUUUUCGGGGUAGGGGUGAAAUCCUAUAAUCCCGGGAAGACCACCAGUGGCGAAGGCUGUCGGCUAGAACGCGCCCGACGGUGAGGGAUGAAGCUGGGGGAGCGAACCGGAUUAGAUACCCGGGUAGUCCCAGCUGUAAACGAUGCAGGCUAGGUGUUUGGGCGGCCACGGGCCGCUCUAGUGCCGCAGGGAAGCUGUUAAGCCUGCCGCCUGGGGAGUACGGCCGCAAGGCUGAAACUUAAAGGAAUUGGCGGGGGAGCACCACAAGGGUGAAGCUUGCGGUUUAAUUGGAGUCAACGCCGGGAA
rnacentral:rRNA from 1 species